UCCCUGUUAACCAGGGCAGUCCCUUGUGAAAUAUAUAACACAAGGCAAGGGUUGCGCUCGUUCACGGACCUAACCGAACACCUCAAGGCACGAGCUGACGACAACCAUGCAGCGCCUGUCACUGAGCUCCUUGCGGCACUCCGCUGUUUCCAGCAGAUUCUCAGGAUGUCAAGCCUUGGUAAGGUUCCCCGUUUUGUGUCGAAUUAAACAACAUGCUCCACCGCUUGUGUGGGUCCCCGUCUAUUCCUUUGAGUUUUAAUCUUGCGACCGUACUCCCCAGGCGGAACACUUAACGCGUUAGCUAAGGCACUGGCGGGAUCGAUCCGCCAACACCGAGUGUUCAUCGUUUACGGCGUGGACUAC
rnacentral:misc_RNA from 1 species